rnacentral:rRNA from 1 species
UACGUAGGUGGCAAGCGUUGUCCGGAAUUAUUGGGCGUAAAGCGUGCGUAGGCGGUUCGUUAAGUUCGUCGUGAAAGCCCCGGGCUCAACCUGGGAAUGGCGAUGGAAACUGGCGGGCUGGAGUAUGGCAGAGGGGGGUGGAAUUCCGCGUGUAGCAGUGAAAUGCGUAGAGAUGCGGAGGAACACCGAUGGCGAAGGCAGCCCCCUGGGCCAAUACUGACGCUCAGGCACGAAAGCGUGGGGAGCAAACAGG